GGUUAAGCGACUAAGCGUACACGGUGGAUGCCCUGGCAGUCAGAGGCGAUGAAGGGCGUACUAAUCUGCGAUAAGCGCCGGUAAGGUGAUAUGAACCGUUAUAACCGGCGAUACCCGAAUGGGGAAACCCAGUGUGAUUCGUCACACUAUCAUUAACUGAAUCCAUAGGUUAAUGAGGCGAACCGGGGGAACUGAAACAUCUAAGUACCCCGAGGAAAAGAAAUCAACCGAGAUUCCCCCAGUAGCGGCGAGCGAACGGGGAGGAGCCCAGAGCCUGAAUCAGCAUGUGUGUUAGUGGAAGCGUCUGGAAAGGCGCGCGAUACAGGGUGACAGCCCCGUACACAAAAGCGCAUGUGCUGUGAGCUCGAUGAGUAGGGCGGGACACGUGGUAUCCUGUCUGAAUAUGGGGGGACCAUCCUCCAAGGCUAAAUACUCCUGACUGACCGAUAGUGAACCAGUACCGUGAGGGAAAGGCGAAAAGAACCCCGGCGAGGGGAGUGAAAAAGAACCUGAAACCGUGU
rnacentral:rRNA from 2 species